rnacentral:rRNA from 2 species
UACGGAGGGUGCAAGCGUUGUUCGGAAUUACUGGGCGUAAAGGGCGCGUAGGCGGUAUAAUAAGUUAGGUGUGAAAUCUUCGGGCUUAACCCGGAAAGUGCACUUAAAACUGUUAUACUAGAGUUCGGGAGGGGAAAGCGGAAUUCCUAGUGUAGAGGUGAAAUUUGUAGAUAUUAGGAAGAACACCGGUGGCGAAGGCGGCUUUCUGGAACGAUACUGACGCUGAGGCGCGAAAGCGUGGGGAGCAAACAGG